UACAGAGGGGGCAAGCGUUGUUCGGAAUUACUGGGCGUAAAGGGCGCGUAGGCGGCCUUCUAAGUCGAACGUGAAAUCCCCGGGCUCAACCCGGGAACUGCGUCCGAUACUGGAAGGCUUGAAUCCGGGAGAGGGAUGCGGAAUUCCAGGUGUAGCGGUGAAAUGCGUAGAUAUCUGGAGGAACACCGAUGGCGAAGGCAGGUCUCUGGGCCACUACUGACGCUGAGAAGCGAAAGCAUGGGGAGCGAACAGG
rnacentral:rRNA from 1 species